GGCGAACGCUGGCGGCGUGCUUAACACAUGCAAGUCGAACGGAAAGGCCCUGCUUUUGUGGGGUGCUCGAGUGGCGAACGGGUGAGUAACACGUGAGUAACCUGCCCUUGACUUUGGGAUAACUUCAGGAAACUGGGGCUAAUACCGGAUAGGAGCUCCUGCUGCAUGGUGGGGGUUGGAAAGUUUCGGCGGUUGGGGAUGGACUCGCGGCUUAUCAGCUUGUUGGUGGGGUAGUGGCUUACCAAGGCUUUGACGGGUAGCCGGCCUGAGAGGGUGACCGGCGACAUUGGGACGGAGAGACGGCCCAGACUCCUACGGGAGGCAGCAGUGGGGAAUAUUGCACAAUGGGCGGAAGCCUGAUGCAGCAACGCCGCGUGCGGGAUGACGGCCUUCGGGUUGUAAACCGCUUUCGCCUGUGACGAAGCGUGAGUGACGGUAAUGGGUAAAGAAGCACCGGCUAACUACGUG
rnacentral:rRNA from 1 species